rnacentral:misc_RNA from 1 species
GAUGAAGAACGCAGCGAAAUGCGAUAAGUAAUGUGAAUUGCAGAAUUCAGUGAAUCAUCGAAUCUUUGAACGCACAUUGCGCCCGUCAGUAUUCUGGCGGGCAUGCCUGUUCGAGCGUCAUUACGCCCCUCAAGUCCCCUGUGGACUUGGUGUUGGGGAUCGGCGAGGCUGGUUUUCCAGCACAGCCGUCCCUUAAAUUAAUUGGCGGUCUCGCCGUGGCCCUCCUCUGCGCAGUAGUAAAACACUCGCAACAGGAGCCCGGCGCGGUCCACUGCCGUAAAACCCCCCAACUUUUUAUAGUUGACCACGAAUCAGGUAGGACUACCCGCUGAACUUAAGCAUAUCAAUAAGCGGAGA